rnacentral:rRNA from 1 species
GACGAACGCUGGCGGCGUGCUUAACACAUGCAAGUCGAACGGAAAGGCCCUGCUUUUGUGGGGUGCUCGAGUGGCGAACGGGUGAGUAACACGUGAGUAACCUGCCCUUGACUUUGGGAUAACUUCAGGAAACUGGGGCUAAUACCGGAUAGGAGCUCCUGCUGCAUGGUGGGGGUUGGAAAGUUUCGGCGGUUGGGGAUGGACUCGUGGCUUAUCAGCUAGUUGGUGGGGUAGUGGCUUACCAAGGCUUUGACGGGUAGCCGGCCUGAGAGGGUGACCGGCCACAUUGGGACUGAGAUACGGCCCAGACUCCUACGGGAGGCAGCAGUGGGGAAUAUUGCACAAUGGGCGGAAGCCUGAUGCAGCAACGCCGCGUGCGGGAUGACGGCCUUCGGGUUGUAAACCGCUUUCGCCUGUGACGAAGCGUGAGUGACGGUAAUGGGUAAAGAAGCACCGGCUAACUACGUGCCAGCAGCCGCGGUGAUACGUAGGGUGCGAGCGUUGUCCGGAUUUAUUGGGCGUAAAGGGCUCGUAGGUGGUUGAUCGCGUCGGAAGUGUAAUCUUGGGGCUUAACCCUGAGCGUGCUUUCGAUACGGGUUGACUUGAGGAAGGUAGGGGAGAAUGGAAUUCCUGGUGGAGCGGUGGAAUGCGCAGAUAUCAGGAGGAACACCAGUGGCGAAGGCGGUUCUCUGGGCCUUUCCUGACGCUGAGGAGCGAAAGCGUGGGGAGCGAACAGGCUUAGAUACCCUGGUAGUCCACGCUGUAAACGGUGGGUACUAGGUGUGGGGUCCAUUCCACGGGUUCCGUGCCGUAGCUAACGCUUUAAGUACCCCGCCUGGGGAGUACGGCCGCAAGGCUAAAACUCAAAGGAAUUGACGGGGCCCCGCACAAGCGGCGGAGCAUGCGGAUUAAUUCGAUGCAACGCGUAGAACCUUACCUGGGUUUGACAUGGAUCGGGAGUGCUCAGAGAUGGGUGUGCCUCUUUUGGGGUCGGUUCACAGGUGGUGCAUGGCUGUCGUCAGCUCGUGUCGUGAGAUGUUGGGUUAAGUCCCGCAACGAGCGCAACCCUUGUUCACUGUUGCCAGCACGUUAUGGUGGGGACUCAGUGGAGACCGCCGGGGUCAACUCGGAGGAAGGUGGGGAUGACGUCAAGUCAUCAUGCCCCUUAUGUCCAGGGCUUCACGCAUGCUACAAUGGCUGGUACAGAGAGUGGCGAGCCUGUGAGGGUGAGCGAAUCUCGGAAAGCCGGUCUCAGUUCGGAUUGGGGUCUGCAACUCGACCUCAUGAAGUCGGAGUCGCUAGUAAUCGCAGAUCAGCAACGCUGCGGUGAAUACGUUCCCGGG